AUGACACCUCGCGCGGCCUGGGCUGAUCCCAGCGUGGGCAGCAGGGCAGGGGGAUCCUGCCCCUGUGCCCUGGGCUCAGGGAUGUUUCCCAGCACCAUUUUGGGGAGCAGCAGAGGCAGUACCCAACAAUGUGUUGGUAAGGUAAGGGGAUUAACAAUAAGGGUAACUUAAAGGUCUAAGAUUUAACAACAAUUUAAUUAACAUAGUUAACUUUUUGUAAUUCAUAUUAACAGCUCCAAUUGUGUUAACUUAUAAACUUGUAUUAACUCAUAAACUUGUAUUAACUCAUAAACUUGUUCAUAACAUGGCUAUGCCUAUAAACACUUCCAUUCACAACGUGUCAAUUUAUGUUUCACUGUCAUCCCAGGCCAGGCUGGAAGGGCCCAGAGCAGCCAGGGAUAGUGGAAGGUGUCCCUGCCCAUGGCAGAGGGUGUGACAGAAUGGGAUUUAAGGCCCCAUCCAACCCAAACCAUUCAGUGAUUUUAAAACAACAAUGAAAUAAAGAUACAACACUAUUAUCCAAAACAAUUUCCAAUGCAAAAGAAUCACCAUGGCAAACGUGGCCUUCUAGAGCUUUUCAGUUAAAUUACAGCAGCCAGGUUCACUGAAAACAGGAAUUAUGGCAGCCUGUUACAACCAAAAAUAUGAUUUGGUUCAGCAAGCACUGCUCUAACAAUCAGAAAACUGCACAAGGAUAAUCCCUUCUCUCAUGUCUUAGGCAGUUUAAUGAAACAGUUAUUUCUCACUGAAGGAGAUUUUAGUUAACCUGAGUGUAAAUUAAAUUUCUCUUCAUUUCCUUCCCCUGCAACCUCUGCAGCCACUGUUCUUUCAGCAAUAAUGUUCUUCAUCAUACAGAAAUCAUGAAGGAAUUACCCUGGGGACUGAACCUCAGCAGCUCCCAGAAUUCAGCUGGAACUUGAUUGCUCCAUCUGGGCAGUAACAGCAUAAUGUAUUACUGUCAUUAGACCAAAAUUUAACUUUAUUUUCAGUUUAGACAUCCUUAGCAGCUGAUCAUGUGCAGUUUAACAUGACAGAAUUUCCUUUCCUGUCUGGAUCAGACCAUCAAAAUAAUCAGCAACAUAAAAUUAAUUAAUUUAAGAAUUUUUUUGCAUACACCUGCAUUUUUUGAAAUGUGUUUUUCAACUAACUUCUUGGCAUCCAGCAAUUCGUGCAAACCAACACACAGAAGGUAUCACUUCUCAUUAAGAAAAAAUACUUGAAAUUAGUUGAUUUGAAUGAUGUGGGUUUUUUUAAAUAUUGAUUUGUUGAUAUUUCCUCAAUAGUAUUUAAAUAAUACAGACAGGUUUAAUGCUGAAGAAAUUAGGAGCAGAUUUGCAGUACUUUGGUCCCCUAAAGAUGCAAACUCUGAAAUUUUCUAAAAGUCUUCAGUGCAAAUGAAGCUGCUACUUGGUAGAUGUCCACAUGCCACCAUCAGGUAAAACCUUUUGUAAAUCUUGUUUUUGGCAAGUGACAAGCACAUGGGAAUUUUCUCAGUUAAAUUCAACUCACUUGAUCAAUAUUAUUCCGUCACAUGAGGAUAUCCUUAAUUUCUGCCUGCUUGUUUUUCUUAAAGAAGGCUUUGUGCACUCCUUUGCGUCCCAGCAGAUGAUCUCAUGCACUCUGGCCCAGACUUGGGCCUUUGCUUUCACUCGAUUUUUAUUUAACUAUUCACAACACAACAGGAUUAUUGACCUAUUCUUGAAAAAUAAUAGAGUCAGAAGAGUUAUAACACAAAUCUCCUGACAGGACUUCCAGUGAAGUGCCUCAUACAGAAAGUUUUGUGAUGUAGAUUUCUCCCUUUAGGGUUUAACUGCAGCUAAUAAAACCAGUGGAACACGAUUCCAGAGACCAUAAAUGUGUAAUCUUACUUGCAUUAUCUGCAUGUUUUCAUUUUUGCAGAUUUUUCAUAAGGCCUGGUGUUUAAAUAUGGUGCUGGCACACAGCUGGAAGCCUGGUGCAGCCUGCAGCAUAAUUUACUAUACACUUUGGUUUUUGUGUUAUUGUUCAAUGCAUUUUCUUCUGUAAUAAUAUCCUAAAUAACUAAAAAAAAUGAAUUACACAGACUUCAUAAAUUGACUGAAUGCAUUACCAAAUUAAAGGAGCCCCAGUACAGUUCUUACUCUACUUUUUAUUGUGUUCCCAGCUGUUUAGAGGUGGAUAUACUCUAAAACUAUGGCCUGUUUAUGAAAUGCCCAGCAUAUUAAAACAGCAUGGAAGGGACCAUCUCUUCAGCAGCACUCAGGAUGACAGAACACGUAUUCUUGUUUCGCUGAAGAGCUGCAGAUUGGGCUGGCCCUGCUGAGGCACCUCCAGUGCUGGGACAGCUCUGGGCCCUCAGGACAAGAGAGACACUGAGGGGCUGGAGCGUGUCCAGGGCAGGGAACGGGGCUGGGAAGGGGCUGGAGCCCCAGGAGAGGCUGAGGGAGCUGGGAAGGGGCUGAGCCUGGAGAAAAGGAGGCUCAGGGGGGACCUUGUGGCUCUGCACAGCUCCUGCCAGGAGGAGACAGCCGGGGGGUCGGGCUGUGCUCCAGGGAACAGGGACAGGAGGAGAGGGAACGGCCUCAGGCUGGGCCAGGGGAGGCUCAGCUUGGACAUCAGCAGGAAUUUCCCCAUAGAAAGGGUGCUCAGGAAUUGGAAGGGUCUGCCCAGAGAGGUUUUAAGAGUUCCCAUCCCUGGAGGUAUCCAAGGAAUGAUUGGGCAUGGCACUCAGUGCUCUGGCUGGUGACAAGUUGGGGAUCAGUCACAGCUGCACUUGGUGGUCUUUUCCAACCUAAAGAUCUGGGAUUCACUGAUCUAGGAGGAAGCUGCAAUACACUGAUCCAGUAGGCAAGAGCUCAUUAAACAGCAAUUCCAGACUCAGGUCCCAACAGAGUUAGCUCCUUAAGGAAGAGCAAAGAGCAUUAAUCAAGGUCUGACAGGGAGCUGUCUGUGCCUGGGCUCACUGCAAAGCCAUGGCUGUGGCUGCAGGGGCACACCUGCGCAUGCUGCAGAUCAAUCCACACCAGGACUGACCAAACUGGCAGGAAAUGAGGCACCUCACCAGGGACACCAGGCAAAAUCAGAUACCAGUCAUUAAUUAACUGCUAAGAGCCACAAGAAUAACACGGGACCACUGUGACAGUUCAGGGACUGCAUAGUGCAUUUUUAGGCCUGCCUGAGGGAGGAUUUUAGGGAAAUUCAAUCAUAAAGAACAAUCCAAAACUGCUGGAAUGGUUUUGUUUUGAAUCUUUUUCAAGCUCUCUGGUUUGGCAGACAGGAAAAAGCAGGAAUUACCACUUUUAUUCCUUACUAAGCACAGGGACACCUAAAACCCUUCACAGUUGGGAUGUAAGUCAGCAGCAGAAUCCAUCUGCCCAGGAAGAAGCAAAGUUUGCCCAGUUCACUUUAUCAUCAACUCAGUUAUUUUAGAACCUCCUUCUGCCUGGGGCCUGUCUCCAGGUUUUCACAGGUUUUGUUACACUGGGACUGUUUAUACACUGAACACUAGGAAUUCUGUGUAAUAAUUGCAAGAAGCGACUUAUUUUUAAGUAAAAUCUCAGUUUAUUAUAAUGAAAAUUCCACAAGCAAGAGGUUUUAGUUGGAUGCUGGGUUUUUUUUUUAAAGCCAAAACUGUGCCAUUAUAAAUCACUACAACAGAACAUAAAGCAACAUGCCUCUUGCAUCAUGCCUCAGGAAAAAAAAAAAGGCAUAAUAUUUCAAGAAAAAUAAUUAAGGGAAGUAUCA